rnacentral:rRNA from 1 species
GACAGUUAAGUCAGUUGUGAUAGUUUGCGGCUCAACCGUAAAAUUGCAGUUGAUACUGGCUGUCUUGAGUACAGUAGAGGUGGGCGGAAUUCGUGGUGUAGCGGUGAAAUGCUUAGAUAUCACGAAGAACUCCGAUUGCGAAGGCAGCUCACUGGACUGCAACUGACACUGAUGCUCGAAAGUGUGGGUAUCAAACAGGAUUAGAUACCCUGGUAGUCCACACAGUAAACGAUGAAUACUCGCUGUUUGCGAUAUACAGUAAGCGGCCAAGCGAAAGCAUUAAGUAUUCCACCUGGGGAGUACGCCGGCAACGGUGAAACUCAAAGGAAUUGACGGGGGCCCGCACAAGCGGAGGAACAUGUGGUUUAAUUCGAUGAUACGCGAGGAACCUUACCCGGGCUUAAAUUGCAUUUGAAUAAUCUGGAAACAGGUUAGCCGUAAGACAAAUGUGAAGGUGCUGCAUGGUUGUCGUCAGCUCGUGCCGUGAGGUGUCGGCUUAAGUGCCAUAACGAGCGCAACCCUUAUCUUUAGUUACUAACAGGUCAUGCUGAGGACUCUAGAGAGACUGCCGUCGUAAGAUGUGAGGAAGGUGGGGAUGACGUCAAAUCAGCACGGCCCUUACGUCCGGGGCUACACACGUGUUACAAUGGGGGGUACAGAAGGCAGCUACCUGGUGACAGGAUGCUAAUCCCAAAAGCCUCUCUCAGUUCGGAUCGAAGUCUGCAACCCGACUUCGUGAAGCUGGAUUCGCUAGUAAUCGCGCAUCAGCCAUGGCGCGGUGAAUACGUUCCCGGGCCUUGUACACACCGCCCGUCAAGCCAUGAAAGCCGGGGGUACCUAAAGUACGUAACCGCAAGGAGCGUCCUAGGGUAAAACUC